GGAGGAGAGAAGGGGAAAGAAGCAUCUGAACGGCUAAAUUGUGCCAGCAGCGCUGAGAGCGAGAGUCACGAGACCUUGCUGCGGACGUGGUUGUCUGUCCUUCCCCCGGGGAUGCCGUUGACUGUGGCCGUCUCAGGCUCGCGUGGCUUCUCUCUGCCCGGCCUCGCCGUCCUUGCAGCGCGGGGCUGAAAAGGGAUAGACAAAGCCCUUCCCGGCUGUGGACAGGACCUGCCUCGGCUGAAGCUGGAGACGCCAACGAAAGGUGGAGGAUGGCCUAGAGUCUGGAGCUGCAGAAGAGGCAGGGAGGAGAGAAGGGGAAACAAGCAUCUGAACGGCUAAAUUGUGCCAGCAGCGCUGAGAGCGAGAGUCACGAGACCUUGCUGCGGACGUGGUUGUCUGUCCUUCCCCCGGGGAUGCCGUUGACUGUGGCCGUCUCAGGCUCGCGUGGCUUCUCUCUGCCCGGCCUCGCCGUCCUUGCAGCGCGGGGCUGAAAAGGGAUAGACAAAGCCCUUCCCGGCUGUGGACAGGACCUGCCUCGGCUGAAGCUGGAGACGCCAACGAAAGGUGGAGGAUGGCCUAGAGUCUGGAGCUGCAGAAGAGGCAGGGAGGAGAGAAGGGGAAACAAGCAUCUGAACGGCUAAAUUGUGCCAGCAGCGCUGAGAGCGAGAGUCACGGUGAGUCCUGGGCCACUGGGGCCCCAUUGCCUCUCUUGUGCAUCCUGGGCCCUCCCUGUCUCUCCCCUGGCCCCCUCUCUUUCCUUACCUGCU